CAAACUGAGCGUGGCUUAAAAAUCUGCCUAAAUACCGUGUUAAAAGCAUCUCUCUCUCUCUCUCCAUGCCGUUUGCCCCCUCUCUCUACCCUGGCUUUACCCCAACAGCACUGACGGGGCAUGUAAUCCACUUAGAAAGCAUCGUCCCACUUUUUUUCAUCAACCUUACAAGCAGGUCUGAGGUGUGGGGGGGGUGCACAGCCGGGCUCUUACUCUGAAGGUUGCCUGCCUGACCCGACACGGCUCAGCACCAUUGGUGGACAGGUAAAUCUGGGUACGAUCCAACGAGCAAAAAGCAGCUAACACAAACCCGAGGAUGGCUGCGUGGACGAGAGAAGAGGCGGAAGAUUUGAAAAACUAAACCAAGCUGUAUUAUCAGACACAAAUCUGCCUCUAACACUUUGCCCUUAUACUUGAAAUAUGUAAAACAAGAACAUGAGGCAACCCGGUGGCACAAGAGUUUCAAAGCUGUCCAUCUAGUGCACAUGUUGAUUGACAGU